AGCCAUGCAUGUCUAAGUACACGCCUUUACACGGCAAAACUGCGAAUGGCUCAUUAAAUCAGUUAUGGUUCCUUAGAUCGUACAAUCCUACUUGGAUAACUGUGGCAAUUCUAGAGCUAAUACAUGCAACACAGCUCCGACCUAGCGGGAAGAGCGCUUUUGUUAGCCCAAAACCAAUCCGGUCCUCGCGGCCGGUUCAACAUGGUGACUCUGAACAACUUUGUGCCGAUCGUAUGCCCCUGCGGCGACGACGCAUCUUUCAAAUGUCUGCCCUAUCAACUUUCGAUGGUACGUGCUAUGCCUACCAUGGUGAUAACGGGUAACGGGGAAUCAGGGUUCGAUUCCGGAGAGGGAGCAUGAGAUACGGCUACCACAUCCAAGGAAGGCAGCAGGCGCGCAAAUUACCCACUCCCGACACGGGGAGGUAGUGACGAAAAAUAACAAUACGGGACUCUUUCGAGGCCCCGUAAUUGGAAUGAGUACACUUUAAAUCCUUUAACGAGGAUCCAUUGGAGGG
rnacentral:rRNA from 1 species